CCUACGGGUGGCAGCAGUGGGGAAUAUUGGACAAUGGGGGGAACCCUGAUCCAGCGACGCCGCGUGAGUGAAGAAGUAUUUCGGUAUGUAAAGCUCUAUCAGCAGGGAAGAAAGGAAUGACGGUACCUGACUAAGAAGCCCCGGCUAACUACGUGCCAGCAGCCGCGGUAAGACGUAGGGGGCAAGCGUUAUCCGGAUUUACUGGGUGUAAAGGGAGCGUAGACGGUUACGCAAGUCUGGAGUGAAAGGCGGGGGCGCAACCCCCGGACUGCGUUGGAAACUGUAUAACGGGAGUGCAGGAGAGGUAAGUGGAAUUCCUAGUGUAGCGGUGAAAUGCGUAGAUAUUAGGCGGAACACCAGUGGCGAAGGCGGCUUACUGGACUGUAACUGACGUUGAGGCUCGAAAGCGUGGGGAGCAAACAGGAUUAGAUACCCGGGUAGUC
rnacentral:rRNA from 1 species